AUUGAACGCUGGCGGCAGGCUUAACACAUGCAAGUCGAGCGGAGAUGAGGUGCUUGCACCUUAUCUUAGCGGCGGACGGGUGAGUAAUGCUUAGGAAUCUGCCUAUUAGUGGGGGACAACAUUCCGAAAGGAAUGCUAAUACCGCAUACGUCCUACGGGAGAAAGCAGGGGAUCUUCGGACCUUGCGCUGAUAGAUGAGCCUAAGUCGGAUUAGCUAGUUGGUGGGGUAAAGGCCUACCAAGGCGACGAUCUGUAGCGGGUCUGAGAGGAUGAUCCGCCACACUGGGACUAAAGCACGGCCCAGACUCCUACGGGAGGCAGCAGUGGGGAAUAUUGGACAAUGGGGUAAACCCUGAUCCAGCCAUGCCGCGUGUGUGAAGAAGGCCUUAUGGUUGUAAAGCACUUUAAGCGAGGAGGAGGCUACUGAGACUAAUACUCUUGGAUAGUGGACGUUACUCGCAGAAUAAGCACCGGCUAACUCUGUGCCAGCCGCCGCUGUAA
rnacentral:rRNA from 1 species